rnacentral:rRNA from 1 species
UACAGAGGUCUCAAGCGUUGUUCGGAUUCAUUGGGCGUAAAGGGUGCGUAGGCGGCGCGGUAAGUCGGGUGUGAAAUCUCGGAGCUUAACUCCGAAACUGCAUUCGAUACUGCCGUGCUUGAGGACUGGAGAGGAGACUGGAAUUUACGGUGUAGCGGUGAAAUGCGUAGAUAUCGUAAGGAAGACCAGUGGCGAAGGCGGGUCUCUGGACAUCGUCGAUCGCUGAGGCACGAAGGUCAGGGGAGCAAACGGG